UCUGGAGAAUACUAUGUUUAGAGAACUUACAUUAUAGUUGGAGUGAUGAGAUCCACCCAUGUGAAAAGUUGGGUGACACCACAGGCAUUACAUCAUCACAAAUGUCACAAAGCUGCUUGGAGAACCUGGCAUACUGAGAAGCACAGAGAUUGGUGGCGUCUUCAGGAUUUCACAGUGGCAAAGAUCCAGAGAGGUGGUCAGGGAAGCCUUCCUGGGGGAGGUGGCAUAGCAGCUGAGCUUUGAAGUCUGAGUCAGUUUGGACAUCAUGGAUGGGGUGGCAGGGAUUGGGGAAAAAGCCAAGGGAGAUAUUUGGAAGUGGGGAAGCUCCAGGAUGUCUGGAGGCCUGGAAGUAGCUCAGAUAGGUCGGGGCAGUGGAUUGGAGUCAGGAAUGACCCCUCGGUUGAGGAGUCUGCCCUGGAGGAAGCAAGGAAUUGUGGGGGCUGAUAAAGAGGCUGUGAUGGAGGCUACUGAUUCAGGGGAAGGUCCGCAGAAGGUGUCUUAGGUCUGCUUUAAGAAACUGUGAAGGGGCUACUGAGAAGAUGGGCAUCUGCCAAGGAGUUAGCCUUGUCCUGUCAUCUCUUGGUCCCACCUCCCUUCUACCCAGAGCCAGAGUUGGCCUUAGGCUGAUGUGACUGGUGUCAGCCUGGCACACGCACCUGCGAUGACAAUCUGGAGGCAGCAGAAUGUCCAUAGAGGUUAAAGAGCACACAGAGCCUUCAAAUUCCAGGUCUAACCCAUUAAAACCCACCAGCAGAGGGCCAUGAGGAACUUACCCGUAGUCAAACAGAGUUAAGGUUAUCAGCCUGCUGCGGGGAGGAAGAGAGCACAUCAUGGGAACUGUGGGGCAUCCUAAAGGGGGCACUGUAGGAGGGACACUUAACAGAGUUUGGGGGCUGGAGUUAAUUAGAGCAUCAUCUUGGUCAGAAUUUGAAGGGUUGCUGGAACAGUCCGAGGUCACAUCCUUAGAACACACCAGCCAUUAGGGAAUUGCUGUCAGAUCAGUUUGUCUGUGGUCUUAUCUUGGAACAGAUGGUUGUGAAUGAGCUGGUGUCAAAAGACUUUGAGCUUAGAUAGUCUGUGAUGAGCCUUCAUCCCAGUGGUACUGUUAUCUGUUUUCUGAGUCAUCACACAGGACUUUCUGCAAGUUGUGGCUUUUGUUCCAAGUCUCAGUUCCCUGUUCAUUGCCUAGCUGCCCGCAGGACCAUCUUCUAUUUAAAGUUUGUCCUUGGGAAAGUUACUUGACCUCUCUGAGCCUUGGUCACUCAGUGGUUAAGUGGAGAUAAUAACGGUAGCUACACCAUGGAGUUCUGAGGAUUAAAUGAGUUAAUAUAUGUGGAGCACCUAACAGUGCCUGGCAUACAGGGGGUGCAAUAGAAAUGUCAGCCAUUAUUACAACUGCAGGCCUUCAAGAUCAGGAAAAGAAUGUUGAUGCCUCAAAAGAAAGGAUAGUCUGCAAGUUUAUUUUCCACUUCAAAGGAGAAAAAAGGGGAACAGCAAUAUGAGAUACCUUUGCCAGGACAGACACUGUCCUGGGAGCAGCCAUCAUGAUCUAGAACAAACAAGUCCGGUGAGAUUGACGUGAUCUUCUGAGAAAGAGGGAAGGAAUGAGCUCAAGGGAUCCUUUGAGGUUUGGCCCAUCUGCAGGUAAACGGUGGUGGUGAUGCACUCUUCGUUAGUUUAGCCGAGGACAGGGCAGGAGGAAAUGAAGUGAAGAAAUGACACUGAGAAUCUGGAUUUGACAGUAGAAGAGACGUCUGACUCUGAGCUGCUGAGUAUUAGGAUUGGGGGAAGCUAAGAGGCUGUGGGCUCCUGGCCACAUCUAACCAGAGUGGAAGUUGUGGUGCAGAGGAGGGACCUCUGGUCUGGGGGUCAGGCAGUCUCAGUCCUGGUAUUGAACUUGCCUCUGAGUAGCAGGGGCAUGGCUUUCUGCCACUCAGUCCUCACUCUGGGUCUUAGGCUCCCCUUUUGUAAAAGGGAGGAUUCAGGAUAGAUGGGCCCUUCAGGCGUCUUGCUUUCUUGGCUUCAAGGCAUCCUGGAGAUUACUGUCAUUCUUUCUCAUAACUGCACAAUAUUCCCCAAUAAUGCAUGUUCUCCUAUUGAUGGACAUUUCGUUGUUUCCAGUCUUUUGUACUUACCAGCCAUAGAGCACAUUUUGUUUGUGUAUCUGCAUGGAGUUAUAUGCAUUUUGUCUUUAAGAUGCCAAGUGGAAUUGCAGUAGACAGGAUUUGAGCAUUUGUGAUUUUCAUGAUCUUGCCAAAUCACUCUCCUUAGAGGUUGCACCAAAUUAUAAUCUUACUGCCAACUGUGGGCCCUGCUGUUUUACUUAUGUGGUGAGGAGUAGUGGGUGGGAGGUCUUGGUGAUCAAGCGAUCAAUACAUCUUCCACUUCUAAGGUCACAUGACCUCAGGGCCCUGCUCUGGUCAGAUCCCAUUUCUUAAGGCCCCAAAUGCUUAGCCAAGCUUGGCUUCUUGCACCUCAGCUCUGCUGCUUCCUCUCACCUUGGCUUUUCUGCUUUCCAGCUAUCCCUAAUAAGAGAGAGAGAAAGCUAGAGACAGAGAAUGUGUUCCAGGUGCUCAAUGUCUUACUGGUGCUGUGCCUGCAACUAUCAUCAUUCCAGCUUCUGUGUACACACACCUGGCUUCCCACAGUUAAGGUGGAGGAGGAGGCAGCCAGCCAGCUGUGUGAAGGACUGAACCCGUUAGGCUGUGAGACUGAGGGGCAAACUCACCAUCCAGGGUUGCACUGACAGCCUCAGCUGAAGGCUCACCCUUAACAAGCUGAACAAGCCUUCUGACAAUUGCUGUCAAUUUCGUCCCAGGAAGAUGCUGGCAGGACCUAGAUCUUGGUUAUGACCUGGAGCCAUGCCCAGAAACACUCAAAUCUAUCACCAAUAAUUGUCCAUGGGCCUGGCUGAAGGGGAGCCUCCCUGACAAACAAACAAGUGGAAAUCUGUCACAAAGGAAGCAAACACACCCCAUGACCAGGAGGGCCACUCAUUCCUCUUGUUCUCAUUGGUUUGGCUGCUGCAUGGUAAACUCACUUUAAGCAUCGUUUCUUCAAUUGUCCAGGCUCAUGAAAGUGGUCAGCAAGUCCUCCUUAAACUCUACACAUGCCUUUGUAAUGUUUACGGGAGGCCCUGCCUCACCCCCAAUUAUUUAUUCAUCAGACAUCUCCUGGGCACCAGUGUGUGUCAGGUGCUGGCUGUGCAUGGGUGGCAGAUGCCCAAGGCUCUGUCUCCACUCUGGGGAAGUUGCUGAGAUGAGCCUCCCAAAGUGAAAAGUGACAGGUGUCAUAGACAAGGCAGUUGAGCAAGGAUUUGCAUGGAGCCAUUUGCAUUUUCUCACCAAGUCCCCUUUGCUAUCGAUUGAUUCAUUUCAACAUACAUUUGGCAGUGGUGGGCGCCUAUAGUCCCAGCUACUCGGGAGGCU
rnacentral:lncRNA from 1 species